GUUUUUGUGGGAUAUCAAAACAUUAUUUACGAGGGUGUGAAAAUCUUUGUAGAUGCGUUUUAAAACUUUGAGGGAAAGCCCGAAAAAGUCCAAAGAGGACAAUAUAUGUGAUUGAGCUAUUAUAAAGGGUAUCAGAGCCAUACACCAGCUAGCGUGCCUGCGAGGACGUUGGCCCCUAGGAGAAUAAAUUGUGAGAUCUCACGUAAGCACCAGGCAAUGUGCCAGGACGUUGGCCCUUAAAAAGGUGGAUUGUGAGAUCUCACAUCAGCACGGAGUGGUGUGCCAGCGAGGAUGCUAACUCUUGGAGUGGAUCGAGAUCCCACAUCAACACCGAGAAAUGUGUCAGUGAGGUCGCUGAGCGCCUACGGGGGUGGAUUGUGAGAUUCCACAUUACAUUGGGCCAAUCCCACAUCAGUGUUGGGCGGUGUGCCGAUGCUCGGCCCCCAAGGGAGUGGAUUGUGAGAUCCCACAUCAGCAUUGGGCCAAUCCCACAUUAGUGUUGGACGGUGUGCCGACGCUCGGCCCCUAAAAUGAUGGGCUGUGAGAUCACAGAUCGAUUGGAAAAUGGUGGGUUCUGAGAUCCCACAUCAAUUGGAGACGGAAAAGAAACAUUUAACCGCUCCCUAACAUGCACGUUUUAAAACUUUGAGAAAAAUCUCCAAAGGAAAAGUCGAAAGAUUCAC